GGAAGUAAAAGUCGCAACAAGGUUUCCGUAGGUGAACCUGCGGAAGGAUCAUUACAAAUCUUUGCGAGUGCUGCGUUUCGUAGCAUCUCACAACAUUAGCACAAGGUCGCAAGGCCUUGAUGUUUACGCUUGUUUGUUUGACAGAGUUAGUUGAGACAAAAAAAAGACAACUUUUAACAAUGGAUCUCUUGGCUCUU
rnacentral:misc_RNA from 1 species